rnacentral:rRNA from 1 species
AGGAAGGUAGUGUAGUUAACACCUGCAUUAUUUGACGUUACCUACAGAAGAAAGCACCGGCUAACUCCGUGCCAGCAGCCGCGGUAAUACGGAGGGUGCGAGCGUUAAUCGGAAUUACUGGGCGUAAAGCGCAUGCAGGCGGCCUGUUAAGUCAGAUGUGAAAACCCGGGGCGUUAAACCUCGGAAUUGCAUUUGAAACUGGCAGGCUAGAGUCUUGUAGAGGGGGGUAGGAAGUUUCAGGUGUAGCGGUGAAAUGCGUAGAGAUCUGAAGGAAUACCAGUGGCGAAGGCGGCCCCCUCGGACAAAGACUGACGCUCAGAUGCGAAAGCGUGGGGAGCAAACAGGAUUAGAUACCCCUGGUAG